AACCUUUACAAUGCACGAAAGUGUGAUAAGGGAAUUCCCAAGUGUGCAUAUACCAUAUGCACUUUUCUUUAGUGUAAAAAGCUAGAGGAAUAAGGGGUGGGUAAGACUAGUGCCAGCCGCCGCGGUAAAACUAGCAUCCCUAGUGGCAGUCACCAUUACUGGGCUUAAAGCGUCCGUAGCUUGUUUGGAUAGUCUCUGCUGAAAUCCUACGGCUUAACCGUAGGGCUUGGCGGAGAAACUGCCAGACUUGAGGACAGGAGAGGUCGGGGGUACUUCUGGGGUAGGGGUGAAAUCCUAUAAUCCUAGAAGGACCAACAGUGGCGAAGGCGCCCGACAUGAAUGUGCCUGACAGUGAGGGACGAGAGCCAGGGUCGCGAAACGGAUUAGAUACCCGUGUAGUCCUGGCCGUAAACGAUGCUGACUAGGUGGGGCGUGUUCUUUGUGAACAUGCUAUGCCGAAGGGAAACCGUUAAGUCAGCCGCCUGGGGAGUACGUCCGCAAGG
rnacentral:rRNA from 1 species